GAUUAAGAACGUAGCGAAAUGCGAUAAGUAAUGCGAAUUGCAGAAUUCAGUGAGUCAUCGAAUCUUUGAACGCACAUUGCGCCCUGUGGUAUUCCGCAGGGCAUGCCUGUUCGAGCGUCAUUUCAACCCUCAAGCCUCGCUUGGUGUUGGGCCCUGCCCGCCGCGGCCGGCCCUAAAGAUAGUGGCGGCGCCGCCUGGCCCUCAGCGUAGUACAGCUCUCGCUCCAGGGUCCGGCGGCAGCCUGCCAGAACCCCCCAACUCUGUGGUUGACCUCGGAUCAGGUAGGGAUACCCGCUGAACUUAAGCAUAUCAAAAGCGGAGGA
rnacentral:misc_RNA from 1 species